CGGUCUGUCAAGUCGGAUGUGAAAUCCCCGGGCUCAACCUGGGAACUGCAUUCGAAACUGGCAGGCUAGAGUCUUGUAGAGGGGGGUAGAAUUCCAGGUGUAGCGGUGAAAUGCGUAGAGAUCUGGAGGAAUACCGGUGGCGAAGGCGGCCCCCUGGACAAAGACUGACGCUCAGGUGCGAAAGCGUGGGGAGCAAACAGGAUUAGAUACCCUGGUAGUCCACGCCGUAAACGAUGUCGACUUGGAGGU
rnacentral:rRNA from 2 species